UUUACUGAAUUAAACGUAUCAGAGAACUGAAUGCCAUUGCCAUGGCAUGACAGACACGAAUACACUCAUAGAAUAUGAGCAUA
rnacentral:snoRNA from 14 species